UCUCGGAGUAGCCACAUGGCCCAGAUCACACAGACACACAUUGGGCUUUCUUUCCGAUGAUUUUCGUUUGUGAAGGGCGAAGAACCGCGGAGUAAAUCAAACAGUUUUCGCAAAGCACGAUCGAGCCUCUCUCUUCUAGCCAGGCGACGCCUUACUCAGUGUUUGUACGAUUUUAUGGCGGUUUUCUUUUACUCCGGCUCUUUGCUUUGCCAGAUAGCAGGUGGGAGAAAGCGCGAGGAAGGAUGGCUGAAAAGAAUUGUUGCAUAACCGGUAUUCGGCGCCAGACUUGCUUCAUAAGAAUCCUUGGAAAUUAAGUAAAUAUGCUUUACUUGUCAACUUUUUGUGUGUGAAUAAAUUAAUACUGAUUUCAAUUAGGUUGGUUGUAGUCCUGUGUUGGCUACAUAUUAUCUACCAUUCCUAACUAACGGGGCAAGAAGUCCGAACUCAAAUGAGAGGGAAUGAGAAAAAAACAAAAAGGUACAUAUAUAU